rnacentral:rRNA from 1 species
CCUACGGGUGGCUGCAGUGGGGAAUAUUGGACAAUGGGCGAAAGCCUGAUCCAGCCAUGCCGCGUGUGUGAAGAAGGCCUUCGGGUUGUAAAGCACUUUCAGUGGGGAAGAAAGCCUUGGGGCUAAUACCCUCGAGGAAGGACAUCACCCACAGAAGAAGCACCGGCUAACUCCGUGCCAGCAGCCGCGGUAAUACGGAGGGUGCGAGCGUUAAUCGGAAUUACUGGGCGUAAAGCGCGCGUAGGCGGUCUGAUAAGCCGGUUGUGAAAGCCCCGGGCUCAACCUGGGAACGGCAUCCGGAACUGUCAGGCUUGAGUGCAGGAGAGGAAGGUAGAAUUCCCGGUGUAGCGGUGAAAUGCGUAGAGAUCGGGAGGAAUACCAGUGGCGAAGGCGGCCUUCUGGACUGACACUGACGCUGAGGUGCGAAAGCGUGGGUAGCAAACAGGAUUAGAUACCCGGUAGUC